rnacentral:tRNA from 1 species
GAGGGUAUAGCUCAGUGGUAGAGUGUACGCCUAGCGUGCACAAGGUCCUGGGUUCAAUCCCCAGUACCUCCC